CCUACGGGAGGCAGCAGUGGGGAAUAUUGGACAAUGGGCGAAAGCCUGAUCCAGCAAUGCCGCGUGAGUGAUGAAGGCCUUCGGGUCGUAAAGCUCUUUUACCAGGGAUGAUAAUGACAGUACCUGGAGAAUAAGCUCCGGCUAACUCCGUGCCAGCAGCCGCGGUAAUACGGAGGGAGCUAGCGUUGUUCGGAAUUACUGGGCGUAAAGAGUACGUAGGCGGUUAUUCAAGUCAGAGGUGAAAGCCCGGGGCUCAACCCCGGAACUGCCUUUGAAACUAGAUAACUAGAGUCUUGGAGAGGUUAGUGGAAUUCCGAGUGUAGAGGUGAAAUUCGUAGAUAUUCGGAAGAACACCAGUGGCGAAGGCGACUAACUGGACAAGUACUGACGCUGAGGUACGAAAGCGUGGGGAGCAAACAGGAUUAGAUACCCUGGUAGUCCACGCCGUAAACGAUGAUAACUAGUUGUUCGGUCACUUGGUGACUGAGUGACGCAGCUAACGCAUUAAGUUAUCCGCCUGGGGAGUACGGUCGCAAGAUUAAAACUUAAUGAAUUGACGG
rnacentral:rRNA from 1 species